UACGUAGGGUGCAAGCGUUGUCCGGAAUUAUUGGGCGUAAAGAGCUUGUAGGCGGUUUGUCGCGUCUGCUGUGAAAUUUCGGGGCUCAACCCCGAACUUGCAGUGGGUACGGGCAGACUAGAGUGUGGUAGGGGAGACUGGAAUUCCCGGUGUAGCGGUGAAAUGCGCAGAUAUCGGGAGGAACACCUAUGGCGAAGGCAGCUCGCUGGGACGUUACUGACGCUGAGACGCGAAAGCGUGGGGAGCAAACAGG
rnacentral:rRNA from 1 species